CAUAAAGACAUAUUACGUCGUUCCGACACGUUCAUGAUUCCAUAAUUUCUACGUAGGUACGAGUACAUAUAAAUUGGUCGCGAUUGGUAGUCCGGAUAAUCGCGAAUCCGUAUAACUGAGGGCCGGAUAAACGAGUUUCUACUGUAUUAUAAAAAAUAUAAUAAAAAUGAAUUUAAAUUGAAUAUUAAUUUUGAAAAAAAUGUAAAUAUAAUAAAAAUGAAUUUAAACUAAAUAUUAAUUUUGGAAAUGUUGUGGAAUACAAUAGCUACUGCGGAGAUACUUGCAAGCCUCUUCCAAUUUUACAGAAGCGCGCUUUAAGCUGACCAAAAGCAUUCUCAAUAACUCGGCGACAUUUGGACAGUCGAUAGUUAAAGAGCUUUUCUCCUGGUGAUUGAUUAUCCACAUAUGGGUAUGGUUUCAUCAUGUGGUGUGAUAAACGAAAGGUUGAAUCACCAAUAGGAAGCACAGGUACAUUGAUGCCUUAAAUUUCUUUGUUAUUUUGUUCAAAAAUACCAGCGUGUUCAUGGAAAUGCUUAAGUGAGCUCCUCUCAAAUAUAUGUACGUAAACUUUGAUCUGCAAGUAAUAAAAAAAUUUAAACACACUUGUAUGAAAUACAUAA